UUCACAAAGCCCCUGAUAUUCACAAAGUGAGAUCAUGAUAUCCUACCUGAGCUCAUUGUCAACCCUGAACCCUUUCCUUCGGGCCAGCUCCAUGAGGAAUGCUCUGCGGGUGGUACCCAUUUUCUUCUCCAAAAUGAAGAGGACCAAAUCUUGAAAUUUGAUGUCAUGAGAAGUGGAGGCCAUCGAGUGUGUAGAUCUCAUUUCCUGAACACCUGCUAUGUGGCCAAGGCAAGCACCUACAAGCCUGAGCUGAUUGAAUCCUCACACCACCAUUGUCAGCACAACCAGACCCAGCCUCAUUGUGCCCUUCAGAGGUACCAGCACCAGCCAGACAACGUCUUCUCAAAAGUUUGAGUCCCAGCUCUGCAUGGUUUUUCCUAUCAACUUCUAUAGCACUAGCAGCAACUGGCAGCACCCCCUUGUCAGAGAUCUAUAUUCCAGCUCCAUGGGGACUUCCGCUCCAAACUUCCAGCCUUCAACUCCAUCCCUUUGUUGCCUUAGUCCUAGGGGUG